rnacentral:rRNA from 1 species
CCAAUAGCGUAUAUUAAAGUUGUUGCAGUUAAAAAGCUCGUAGUUGAAUUUCGGGAUCAAAUGAUCGUUCUUCCAUUGGUACGUACUGGCUUUAUUGGUUUCUACCUUCUGAAGAACCGCGAUGUCAUUCAUUUGGUGUCUUGGGGAAUCAGGACUGUUACUUUGAAAAAAUUAGAGUGUUUAGAGCAGGCUCGCGCUUGAAUACAUUAACAUGGAAUAGUGAAAUAGGACGUUUGAUUCUAUUUUGUUGGUUUCUAGGAUCGACGUAAUGAUUAAUAGGGAUAGUUGGGGGCAUUAGUAUUCAAUUGUCAGAGGUGAAAUUCUUGGAUUUAUUGAAGACUAACUACUGCGAAAGCAUUUGCCAAGGAUGUUUUCAUUAAUCAAGAACGAAAGUUAGGGGAUCGAAGACGAUCAGAUACCGUCGUAGUCUUAACCAUAAACUAUGCCGACUAGGGAUCGGAUGAUGUUAAUUUUUUAAUGACUCAUUCGGCGCCUUACG